GGACCCGCACAAGCGGUGGAGCAUGUGGUUUAAUUCGAAGCAACGCGAAGAACCUUACCAAGUCUUGACAUCGGAAUGACCGUCCCGUAACUGGGGCUUCCCUUCGGGGCAUUCCAGACAGGUGGUGCAUGGUUGUCGUCAGCUCGUGUCGUGAGAUGUUGGGUUAAGUCCCGCAACGAGCGCAACCCUUAUCCUUAGUAGCCAGCAGUUCGGCUGGGCACUCUGGGGAGACUGCCAGGGAUAACCUGGAGGAAGGUGGGGAUGACGUCAAAUCAUCAUGCCCCUUAUGAUUUGGGCUACACACGUGCUACAAUGGCGUAAACAAAGGGAAGCGAAGGAGUGAUCUGGAGCAAAUCUCAAAAAUAACGUCUCAGUUCGGAUUGUAGUCUGCAACUCGACUACAUGAAGCUGGAAUCGCUAGUAAUCGCGGAUCAGAAUGCCGCGGUGAAUACGUUCCCGGGUCUUGUACACACCGCCCGUCACACCAUGGGAGUUGGUAACGCCCGAAGUCAGUGACCCAACCGUAAGGAGGGAGCUGCCGAAGGCGGGACUGAUAACUGGGGUGAAGUCGUAACAAGGUAGCCGUAUCGGAAGGUGCGGCU
rnacentral:rRNA from 1 species